GUCCCUGUAAUGCAAUGGAUAGCAAGUUGAACUUCUAAUCCAAAAGUCAUGGGUUCCAAUCCCACCUGAGAUG